GCGACUAAGCGUACACGGUGGAUGCCCUGGCAGUCAGAGGCGAUGAAGGACGUGCUAAUCUGCGAAAAGCGUCGGUAAGGUGAUAUGAACCGUUACAGCCGGCGAUGUCCGAAUGGGGAAACCCAGUGCAAUUCGUUGCACUAUCGUUAACUGAAUACAUAGGUUAACGAGGCGAACCGGGGGAACUGAAACAUCUAAGUACCCCGAGGAAAAGAAAUCAACCGAGAUUCCCCCAGUAGCGGCGAGCGAACGGGGAGCAGCCCAGAGUCUGAAUCAGCUUGUGUGUUAGUGGAACGGUCUGGAAAGUCCGACGGUACAGGGUGAUAGUCCCGUACACCAAAAUGCACAGGCUGUGAACUCGAAGAGUAGGGCGGGACACGUGGUAUCCUGUCUGAAUAUGGGGGGACCAUCCUCCAAGGCUAAAUACUCCUGACUGACCGAUAGUGAACCAGUACCGUGAGGGAAAGGCGAAAAGAACCCCGGCGAGGGGAGUGAAAAAGAACCUGAAACCGUGUACGUACAAGCAGUGGGAGCACCUUCGGGUGUGACUGCGUACCUUUUGUAUAAUGGGUCAGCGACUUAUAUUCUGUAGCAAGGUUAACCGUAUAGGGGAGCCGCAGGGAAACCGAGUCUUAACUGGGCGUUAAGUUGCAGGGUAUAGACCCGAAACCCGGUGAUCUAGCCAUGGGCAGGUUGAAGGUUGGGUAACACUAACUGGAGGACCGAACCGACUAAUGUUGAAAAAUUAGCGGAUGACUUGUGGCUGGGGGUGAAAGGCCAAUCAAACCGGGAGAUAGCUGGUUCUCCCCGAAAGCUAUUUAGGUAGCGCCUCGUGAAUUCAUCUUCGGGGGUAGAGCACUGUUUCGGCUAGGGGGUCAUCCCGACUUACCAACCCGAUGCAAACUACGAAUACCGAAGAAUGUUAUCACGGGAGACACACGGCGGGUGCUAACGUCCGUCGUGAAGAGGGAAACAACCCAGACCGCCAGCUAAGGUCCCAAAGUCAUGGUUAAGUGGGAAACGAUGUGGGAAGGCACAGACAGCCAGGAUGUUGGCUUAGAAGCAGCCAUCAUUUAAAGAAAGCGUAAUAGCUCACUGGUCGAGUCGGCCUGCGCGGAAGAUGUAACGGGGCUAAACCAUGCACCGAAGCUGCGGCAGCGACACUAUGUGUUGUUGGGUAGGGGAGCGUUCUGUAAGCCUGCGAAGGUGACCUGUGAGGGUUGCUGGAGGUAUCAGAAGUGCGAAUGCUGACAUAAGUAACGAUAAAGCGGGUGAAAAGCCCGCUCGCCGGAAGACCAAGGGUUCCUGUCCAACGUUAAUCGGGGCAGGGUGAGUCGACCCCUAAGGCGAGGCCGAAAGGCGUAGUCGAUGGGAAACAGGUUAAUAUUCCUGUACUUGGUGUUACUGCGAAGGGGGGACGGAGAAGGCUAUGUUAGCCGGGCGACGGUUGUCCCGGUUUAAGCAUGUAGGCUGAUUGUCCAGGCAAAUCCGGAUAAUCAAGGCUGAGGUGUGAUGACGAGGCACUACGGUGCUGAAGUAACAAAUGCCCUGCUUCCAGGAAAAGCCUCUAAGCAUCAGGUAACAUUAAAUCGUACCCCAAACCGACACAGGUGGUCAGGUAGAGAAUACCAAGGCGCUUGAGAGAACUCGGGUGAAGGAACUAGGCAAAAUGGUGCCGUAACUUCGGGAGAAGGCACGCUGGUGUGUAGGUGAAGUCCCUGCGGAUGGAGCUGAGACCAGUCGAAGAUACCAGCUGGCUGCAACUGUUUAUUAAAAACACAGCACUGUGCAAACACGAAAGUGGACGUAUACGGUGUGACGCCUGCCCGGUGCCGGAAGGUUAAUUGAUGGGGUUAUCCGUAAGGAGAAGCUCUUGAUCGAAGCCCCGGUAAACGGCGGCCGUAACUAUAACGGUCCUAAGGUAGCGAAAUUCCUUGUCGGGUAAGUUCCGACCUGCACGAAUGGCGUAAUGAUGGCCAGGCUGUCUCCACCCGAGACUCAGUGAAAUUGAACUCGCUGUGAAGAUGCAGUGUACCCGCGGCAAGACGGAAAGACCCCGUGAACCUUUACUAUAGCUUGACACUGAACAUUGAGCCUUGAUGUGUAGGAUAGGUGGGAGGCUUUGAAGCGUGGACGCCAGUCUGCGUGGAGCCAACCUUGAAAUACCACCCUUUAAUGUUUGAUGUUCUAACGUUGGCCCCUUACCGGGGUUGCGGACAGUGUCUGGUGGGUAGUUUGACUGGGGCGGUCUCCUCCCAAAGCGUAACGGAGGAGCACGAAGGUUAGCUAAUCCUGGUCGGACAUCAGGAGGUUAGUGCAAUGGCAUAAGCUAGCUUGACUGCGAGCGUGACGGCGCGAGCAGGUGCGAAAGCAGGUCAUAGUGAUCCGGUGGUUCUGAAUGGAAGGGCCAUCGCUCAACGGAUAAAAGGUACUCCGGGGAUAACAGGCUGAUACCGCCCAAGAGUUCAUAUCGACGGCGGUGUUUGGCACCUCGAUGUCGGCUCAUCACAUCCUGGGGCUGAAGUAGGUCCCAAGGGUAUGGCUGUUCGCCAUUUAAAGUGGUACGCGAGCUGGGUUUAGAACGUCGUGAGACAGUUCGGUCCCUAUCUGCCGUGGGCGCUGGAGAAUUGAGGGGGGCUGCUCCUAGUACGAGAGGACCGGAGUGGACGCAUCACUGGUGUUCGGGUUGUCAUGCCAAUGGCACUGCCCGGUAGCUAAAUGCGGAAGAGAUAAGUGCUGAAAGCAUCUAAGCACGAAACUUGCCCCGAGAUGAGUUCUCCCUGAGACUUUAAGUCUCCUGAAGGAACGUUAAAGACGAUGACGUUGAUAGGCCGGGUGUGUAAGCGCAGCGAUGCGUUGAGCUAACCGGUACUAAUGAACCGUGAGGCUUAACCUU
rnacentral:rRNA from 1 species